rnacentral:piRNA from 1 species
UAGUCACUGUGCCUGGCUUUUAUAUGG